CUUGUGUCUGAGAACUUCUUCACUCACUUGUAAAAUUCUUUGCUUUCUUCAUAAACCUUCAACGAAUUAGUGGAUCAAUUUUCCUGUGAUUCGUUGAUAAUCAGUUUGAGGUGUUUCUCUUGGUAAAGGCUAGAAUUCAAGAAUUGGGUAUUCAUCUUCACCUGUUACUGUUUCUUGGUUUUCUUCUACAUGUAAAAUUGUAUAGAACAAAACCCAGUUUUCAGUUUCGAUUCAAGGUAAAAAAAAUUAUGAAAAAUUGUACAUUUUUCGUUUUGCUUGAAUGUUUUGUCUUAGACCUUGGUUUUGGUAGCAUGUGAGUUAUUUGAUAACAGAGUUUAAGGCAGCGGCGUCCAAUCAUCAAACAGAGUGGACUCUCAACCAAAACAAAAAGCCCCAAUUCCAAAUACACUGGUCAAUUAGGGUUUAACGGAAUUUCCCCAACGCUUGUUUGAAUAAUUCGCAGCAAAUCGCAAUGGCUCGUAACGAAGAGAAAGCGCAGUCGAUGCUCAAUCGAUUCAUCACACUCAAAGCCGAAGAGAAGAAGAAGCCAAAAGAGCGACGUCCAUACCUGGCCUCCGAAUGCCGGGACCUUGCCGAGGCCUCCAAAUGGCGGCAGCAAAUCAUGGGAGAGAUUGGCCGAAAAGUCGCCGAGAUCCAAAACGAAGGGCUUGGCGAGCACCGUCUCCGUGACCUCAACGACGAGAUCAACAAGCUCAUACGGGAGAAGGUUCACUGGGAACGACGAAUUGUUGAGCUCGGAGGCCCUAACUACGCCAAACACGCCCCUAAGAUGACGGACCUCGAUGGCAACAUCAUCGACGUCCCAAACCCUAGCGGCCGAGGCCCUGGGUAUCGGUAUUUCGGCGCGGCGAAGAAGUUGCCGGGAGUCAGAGAGCUUUUCGAGAAGCCACCGGAGCUGAGAAAGCGGAGGACGAGGUACGAUAUAUACAAAAGGAUUGAUGCGAGCUAUUAUGGGUAUAGGGACGAUGAGGAUGGGGUUCUGGAGGAGGUUGAGGCUCCGGCGGAGGAGAAAAUGAGAGCGGAGGCCGUGGCGGAGUGGAAACGGAUGGAGGAGAUAAGGAAAGAGGCAAGGAGGGCGGUGAAGAGUGGGGAGGUGGUGUCGGUGGCAAAGGCAAAGGAGGUUUUGUUUGAAGAGGAAGAAGAGGUGGUUGAGGAGGAGAGGCAGAGAGAAAGGGAAUUACAAGAGAGGAGUGAGAGGGAGAAAGAGUUUGUGGUGCAUGUGCCGUUGCCGGACGAUAGGGAGAUUGAGAAGAUGGUGCUGGAGAAGAAGAAGAAGGAGCUGCUGAGCAAGUAUACUAGUGAUGGAUUGUUGGAGGAGCAGUCUGAGGCUAAGCAGAUGCUUAACAUUCAGCGCUAGAAUGCAGACACCAAGAAAGAGAAAGAAUGUUCAGUUGCAAAGGUUGUUGGCUGGUUGUUGGCUGGUCAGGUCCCCCCAAUUUUUUUCCCUCUUGUACUGUCUCUUCACGUCAAUAAUGCCAUAAUAUGAAGGAAAACUAUGGAGUGUGCCCCCUUCUUUUAAACCCUGCAGUGGCAUUUGCUUCAGUGACUCUGAUGAUCAGGGAGCGUACCAAAGGAGAGAAAGCAAGUGGCAGCAUGGUGAGGUUGACUGAGACUGACUUGUCCAUGAGAAAGUGGUAUGGGAUGCAGAGGUGUGGCGUGCUCCACGCCAUUUGUUCCUCACUAAAAAUUUGAUAGGCAGGUUCUUGUGCAGCGGCGUCCAAUCAUCAAACAGAGUGGACUUUCAACCAAAACAAAAAUAUCAGUACAUAUUUCAAUUCUGAUUUGAUAAACACAUUGCUUUCCUUUGGGAUUUCCAGUUGAUAACUGAUGACAAAGUUCUAUAUUUUUCUUGCUCUGCCACACUCAAGUUGCCUAAAUCAAAGAAAUCUUCAUCACUUUAUCUACUGUUUAUUUUUGCCCUUUGUUUGUUCAGGCUUGUUUCGGUUUCUACUUUUUGUACUAGAGAAAUAUUCAAGUCCUUGUUCUACUUGAGGCAUAGAAAAGAACUCGUAUUGGGCCAGUUCCCCACC